rnacentral:rRNA from 1 species
CCUACGGGAGGCAGCAGUGGGGAAUUUUGGACAAUGGGGGCAACCCUGAUCCAGCCAUGCCGCGUGAGUGAAGAAGGCCUUCGGGUUGUAAAGCUCUUUCGGCCGGAACGAAAUCGCGCACGUGAAUAACGUGCGUGGAUGACGGUACCGGAGUAAGAAGCACCGGCUAACUACGUGCCAGCAGCCGCGGUAAUACGUAGGGUGCGAGCGUUAAUCGGAAUUACUGGGCGUAAAGCGUGCGCAGGCGGUUCGCUAAGUCAGACGUGAAAGCCCCGGGCUUAACCUGGGAACGGCGUUUGAAACUGGCGGGCUCGAGUACGGCAGAGGGGGGUGGAAUUCCACGUGUAGCAGUGAAAUGCGUAGAUAUGUGGAGGAACACCGAUGGCGAAGGCAGCCCCCUGGGCCGAUACUGACGCUCAUGCACGAAAGCGUGGGGAGCAAACAGGAUUAGAUACCCUGGUAGUCCACGCCCUAAACUAUGUCAACUAGUUGUCGGGGAAGCAAUUCCUUGGUAACGCAGCUAACGCGUGAAGUUGACCGCCUGGGGAGUACGGUCGCAAGNUUAAAACUCAAAGGAAUUGACGGCUGAGACGUGCGAGGCGACGACGAGGGAGAGG